UACGUAGGGUGCGAGCGUUGUCCGGAAUUAUUGGGCGUAAAGAGCUCGUAGGCGGUGUGUCACGUCGGCCGUGAAAACCUGCAGCUUAACUGUGGGCGUGCGGUCGAUACGGGCAUCACUGGAGUUCGGCAGGGGAGACUGGAAUUCCAGGUGUAGCGGUGAAAUGCGUAGAUAUCUGGAGGAAUACCGGUGGCGAAGGCGGCAUCCUGGACCGAGAUUGACACUGAUGAGCGAAAGCUAGGGGAGCAAACGGG
rnacentral:rRNA from 1 species